UACGGAGGGUGCAAGCGUUGUUCGGAAUCAUUGGGCGUAAAGCGCGUGUAGGCGGCUAGGCAAGUCGGUUGUGAAAGCCCGGGGCCCAACCCCGGAACUGCAUCUGAAACUGCCUGGCUAGAGUCCCGGAGAGGAAGGCAGAAUUCCCGGUGUAGGGGUGAAAUGCGCAGAUAUCGGGAGGAACACCCGUAGCGAAGGCGGCACUCUGGGCCGGUACUGACGCUGAGGAGCGAAAGCGUGGGGAGCAAACAGG
rnacentral:rRNA from 1 species